AUACGUAGGUGGCGAGCGUUAUCCGGAAUUACUGGGUGUAAAGGGCGCGUAGGCGGGUAUGCAAGUUGGAUGUGAAAUUCCGGGGCUUAACUCCGGAUUGUCAUCUAAAACUGUGUAUCUUGAGUGUCAGAGGGGAAAGUGGAAUUCCUAGUGGAGUGGUAAAAUGCGUAGAUAUUAGGAGGAACAUCGGUGGCGAAGGCGACUUUCUGGCUGACAACUGACGCUGAGGCGCGAAAGCGUGGGUAGCGAACAGGAUUAGAUACCCUGGUAGUCCACGCCGUAAACGCUGAUUACUAGGUGUAGGGGGUAUAGACUCCCUCUGUGCCGCAGUUAACGCAUUAAGUAAUCCACCUGGGGAGUACGGCCGCAAGGUUAAA
rnacentral:rRNA from 1 species